rnacentral:ncRNA from 2 species
GUUCGUCUUCAGGGCAGGGUGAAAUUCCCGACCGGCGGUGAUAGCCCGCAACUCUCCAUCUGAUGGGGAUUGAUCUUGGUGAAAUUCCAAGGCCGACAGUAAAGUCUGGUAUAAAGAAGAUUGGC